rnacentral:lncRNA from 1 species
UGAGGACUAUAUCUUCAUUCUAUCACUCCAGGAUCUCCGUUACAUGCUUCCUUGGCCCCUAGUGUUGGUCUUGGGAUGAUCCAUUGGUCAUGGAAACAAGAUGGCCCUUGGGGGAAAGGGGAAGGUCCUCAACUUGGUUAAAAACCCACAGUCACAGGCAGGGGACUACGGUGCAAAUAAAAGGUUCUAUGUCCACUUUCCAAACUUUAUUGUAUUCAUUUUCCAGGAGGACACCCCAGGUUCAUUUCAGAAGAGCAAAACACUUCUACCCAGUCCACCUUCUUUCCUGCUACAUACCACUGAAUUCACUUACAUCGAAACUCUCUGAACUUUAUCUUUUCAGAGUCAAAGGAGAUGACUAAUAGAAUCUUACCAUCUCUGCAAAAGAAUCCUUUCCAUUCAUUUAAAACAACUACCAGGGAGAAACAGGAUGUCUCUCAGACUUCUUUGAGUUGACCAAUCCCUGUUCUAGAACAUGUUAAUUUUUUUUAAAUUUAAUGAACAUUUUCUCUCCCUCCUCUGGAAAGAAACUGGCCAUAUCCAAAAAUGUAUUAGGAAUUGGGGUUCAUGGCUGGAAUCAUGGCUGAUCACAAUUUGUGAGUCAUUCAAAUUUGUUUAUUUUUACAGCACUAUUGUUAUAGUAUAAAUGAUCAAAAUGAGUUAACACAGGUCAAGUGUUUUAUAAACCUUAAAGGGCUAUAGAAGUACUAGAUCUGAAGUAUUCAGAAACUUUUUCCCUUGGUUCUGAUCAUUUCACGCCACAUUCAUUUGUCUCUCCUGGGUGUUCUGAAAUUGUCCCCUUUGUUUCUUCCAGCACAGCAGUAUUCUAUUAUGUUCAUAAUUUAUUCAGCCAUUCUCUAAUUGAUGAGCAUUCCCUCAGUUUCCAAGUAUUUGCCACCUUCUUUAUAAGUUUGCAGGAUAUGAGGUAAAACUUCAAAGUUGUUUUGAUUUGCAUUUCUUUUGUUGUCAAGGAUUUAGAACAAAUUCGUAUAUGGUUUAUAAUAUUUUGCUAUUGUUCUUUUGAGAACUGUUUACAUGUAUCCUUUGACCAUUUACUCACUGGGAAAUGACAGUCUUAAAUAUUUGUGUUAGUUUCCUUGUAUAUCUUGCAUAUACGAGAUGUUAUGAAGAUUUUCCCCAAUUGGCUCUUUUCUUUUCUUUUUUAUCCUAGUUGCCCGGUUUUGUUUGUACAACUAAAAUUAUCUUUUUAUAUCACAUGGGAUUGCCUCUAUCCUUUGAUUAAGAAUUGUCUCACUGGCUAGAGCUGCAAAAGUUGUCUCGGAUGCUCCUUCUGGCCUUUUAAUUCUAUGAUUGAGGCAAACUUCAAAUGUUCCAGUUAUAAUACUUUUUGAGUUUAUCAUG